rnacentral:rRNA from 1 species
UACGGAGGGAGCAAGCGUUACUCGGAAUUAUUGGGCGUAAAGGGCGCGUAGGCGAUUUAACAAGUCUUGUGUGAAAGCCCCGGGCUUAACUCGGGAAGUGCACAAGAAACUGUUGAAUUUGAGUUCCGGAGAGGAAGGCAGAAUUCCCGAUGUAGCGGUGAAAUGCGUAGAUAUCGGGAGGAAUACCAGUGGCGAAGGCGGCCUUCUGGACGGAUACUGACGCUGAGGCGCGAAAGCCAGGGGAGCAAACGGG